rnacentral:rRNA from 1 species
UCCACGCCGUAAACGAUGGUCACUAGUUGUUGGUCCGCAAGGAUCAGUGAUUAAGAGAAAUUGAUAAGUGACCCACCUGGGGAGUACGAUCGCAAGAUUGAAACUCAAAGGAAUUGACGGGGGCCCGCACAAGCGGUGGAGCAUGUGGUUUAAUUCGAUGAUACGCGAGGAACCUUACCAGGGCUUAAAUGUAAGUUGCAUGAUUUAGAGAUAGAUCUUUCUUCGGACUACUU